GACUGGUGGAGGAGAAAAAAGACAGAGGAAAAAGAGGGACACAUUGAAGAAGACAAUCUAACAUUC